rnacentral:rRNA from 1 species
ACUCCUGCGGGAGGCAGCAGUAGGGAAUCUUCCACAAUGGGUGCAAACCUGAUGGAGCAAUGCCGCGUGAGUGAAGAAGGUCUUCGGAUCGUAAAGCUCUGUUGUUAGAGAAGAACACGUGCUAGGUAACUACUAGCGCCUUGACGGUAUCUAACCAGAAAGUCACGGCUAACUACGUGCCAGCAGCCGCGGUAAUACGUAGGUGACAAGCGUUGUCCGGAUUUAUUGGGCGUAAAGGGAGCGCAGGCGGUCUGUUUAGUCGAAUGUGAAAGCCCACGGCUUAACCGUGGAACGGCAUUGGAAACUGACAGACUUGAAUGUAGAAGAGGAAAAUGGAAUUCCAAGUGUAGCGGUGGAAUGCGUAGAUAUUUGGAGGAACACCAGUGGCGAAGGCGAUUUUCUGGUCUAACAUUGACGCUGAGGCUCGAAAGCGUGGGGAGCGAACAGGAUUAGAAACCCGAGUAGUCCC